rnacentral:rRNA from 1 species
UACGAAGGGGGCUAGCGUUGCUCGGAAUGACUGGGCGUAAAGGGCGCGUAGGCGGAUGGCACAGUCAGAUGUGAAAUUCCCGGGCUUAACCUGGGGGCUGCAUUUGAUACGUGUGAUCUAGAGUGAGGAAGAGGGUCGUGGAAUUCCCAGUGUAGAGGUGAAAUUCGUAGAUAUUGGGAAGAACACCGGUGGCGAAGGCGGCGACCUGGUCCUUGACUGACGCUGAUGCGCGAAAGCUAGGGGAGCAAACAGG